AUGCACUUGGCUGAUAUCCUCCGCAACGCCAGCCCUAACCUUGGCGUCAGGUGGCUGCUAGUGACACAAACGGGCAAGUGGGAACUAUAAGGGAGGGAAUUUUUCUUUUUUUUCUCUCUUGUUUCCCCAUCAUCCGUUUUCCGCUUGUCACCAGUCGGUUCUAGGCCAAGCUACAGCGUAUGUGUGACGCGGCGUUGAUGCUAGAAACUACCGUUCGAGUACACCCACCAAUUCCCCACUCUCCCGGACCACCUGUCAGUCGCAUUACACGCACCAACAGUCGAUCCGGGGAACGUCAAUCGCUGUCAGGUGCAACUACUUCGCCGUUGCGCUAGUGACAUGUGAAAGACAGCCUACUGCAGAGGAGAUGGAGGUGGAGUGCAACAGGAGAUUGGGAGCGGAAGAAUGCUCAUUCGAGAGUCGUUUGAGUCUUUGAAGAGUGUCGGCUCAGGGUACCGGUUCAGAACCGAUUCUCUUUCCAGAUGACCGAUUCGCGAUGGCCAAUUCGCGAUGAACACUCGCAAUCAAUGUCUCAGAUGUUGACGGGCUCAGAUAUUGUUGAGGAAGGAAAACGGCAAGAAAAUGUGGACAGUUGAUAAAAAAUAUCCACAAGUUUCGCUGCUGAAAUAGAUAGUGACGCCAUAGACAAGAUCAUGCUGAAGUACAUGUAUACUUAUACUACAGAUUUCAACAUAAAUCCAUCUUGUAUUUGC
rnacentral:misc_RNA from 1 species